rnacentral:pre_miRNA from 1 species
AAAGACUCAAUUCCUGGGUUUUCGUGUCCUACGUUUGACUGUUCGUCUUAUAUGAUUUUUUUAAUUAGUAUUUUCAUUGUUGUUAAAUGAUAAAACAUAAAUAAUACUUUAUGUGUGACUUAUUUUUUUAAUUUUUUUUUCAUAAUUUUUUCAAAUAAAACGGACAGUCAAAUGUUGGACACAGAAACUCAGGAAUUGAGUUAUU